GGGGAUGUAGAUCAAUUGGUUAGAUCGCCGCCCUGUCACGGCGGAGGUUGCGAGUUCGAGCCUCGUCGUCCCCGCUA
rnacentral:tRNA from 1 species